rnacentral:rRNA from 1 species
UACGGAGGGGGCGAGCGUUGUUCGGAAUCAUUGGGCGUAAAGGGCGCGUAGGCGGCCGAUCAAGUCGGAGGUGAAAUCCCUCGGCUCAACUGAGGAAUUGCCUUCGAUACUGUUCGGCUUGAGUCCUGGAGAGGGUAGCGGAAUUCCCGGUGUAGCGGUGAAAUGCGUAGAGACCGGGAAGAACACCAGUGGCGAAGGCGGCUACCUGGACAGGUACUGACGCUGAAGCGCGAAAGCUAGGGGAGCAAACAGG